CGGGGGGGUCGUCUGUCAGAGAGCGCUAGACUCCAUUGCCUUGCGCUACAGCGUCGCCAGAGCCAACAAUUCCAACUGCAGUAUAGGCACCAGGCGGCUCAACAAGCAUUCAACGCCUUCCCAACCGGAGAGGCCCUUAGAUUCGUCGACGCUGAGAUCCAUCAGCCGCCACGGACCGAUCACAGUCUCGACGUAUCAGACGACGCUCUUCUGGAGGUGUCACCGGACACCGGAGAGAUAUUUACUGCCGGCGAGUGCGUCGUCAAUGCGCCGCCAUCCACCCCGGAGCUGUCGCAGCAACCACAAGAACAACAAAAACAACAAGAACCGCGGAGCCCUGAAGAGGAGUGUCUAAACGGCAGCUGGAACACGUGCUGUCCAGACAGCCGAGCGUGGAGCCUUCAACUUCCCAGAGCGGGGCCCCUGUGCUUCUAGCUGAGCAGCGCGUCCCGGAACAGGCGAGGCGAGCCCCCGUGCGUCGUCCGGGGACUCCUCCUUCAAGGGGUCGUUCCGAUUCCGCUCGUCCGGGGCUACGAGGGAGGAGGCGGUUCCGAGGAUCGAGGCUGCUCUUCAAUAGGGCCGUUGAGCACAGAUUUGAGAGCGUCGUCUGGAAUGUUAUUGAGAGGAGUCUGAUGAUGAAUGAUUUGCUCCGCACGCUGAUGUGAAAACUGUGCUGGAAUGUCACUCAUUUGAAUAUUAAACAACAAGAUGGCUGAUGAAAACUCUGAUCUCAAUGAUUUACGAGCCGAAUUAGAGGAUGUGUUAACUUUGAUAUCCAAUGGCCAAAGAGGGUUUCGGGGUGUGAACAUAACCACCGAGCAUUUUGAUCGGUUGGAUGAAUUGGUCAAUUAUUUGGUGGCAAGAGUCGGAAGUGUGUCUCUGGUCUACUCCCCGAACUAUGACUUUCCUAGCGGGGGUGAUGAGUAUGUUUCUGAUUUUGAUCGAUUAGAACAGUCUGUAAACCUCUUCAUUGAAAGACUGCAAAAUCCCAGCCAGAGAAAUAAUGAACUCCCGUCAGAGGAGGGCGCACCCGAGUGCGGAGACAAUGACGAUGCUAUGGAAGGAGCUCCUCCGAGCAGAGACGGCAACCCGGAAGCACCCCCUGACGGACCCCCGACGCACGACGCGGCGCAGAGGGGAAGCGGGCCUCCGAUGAAACCAGGAUUGUAACCAGAAACAGUUUCAAUAACUUUGAAAUAAGACGACUGCUUAAUAUCGUACAGACGGACGAGGUUGAUUUUACGGGACUGUUAUGGGGAAUGUUGCCGAGAUGGUGCAGCAGGCUUUAAAUCAGACGCAGCAAGGCGACGUUAUCCAGCUCGAGCUCAGGGGGGACAUGCUGCGAUCACAAGCGGCCGCUGUUGUGUCAGUCGCGGACGGCGUGGAUUUUUCCCAAUUUCAGGACCUGCUGGACGGCGCUGUUCAGUCCAAUAUGGAAGUGUUGACGGACGGCAGCUUGGAGCUGGUGAUUCAGGUGCUGCGCAACCCCCGAGGGGGUGGUAAAAGGCUGUUGGCAAAGACCCUAGACUGCGAAAUUGUUCAAAAGGAGAAUCUGAAUUAUGUCAGCCCGUACCCAGCUCCUGAAUAUUACGGUUGUCAGCAAAUGACUCCACCCUAGUCUCCGGCGGGACGUUUAAUUUUAAAGCGGAGGCAAAGCGCUACUGCCAAAAUGACACAGAGAUUCUCAUGAAGGCGUGCUUUGCAUUUAGAGAGUGUUUUGUGAACGAGACGGCUCUAGACCCCUUCAAGCGAGCAACCAUCGCCUCCGCGUGUAUGUUUGUUUUCAGAACAAGUUUUCUUAAAGAAAACACUCUCGCCAUUCCCUGUCCGUACGACUACAAGUAUAGCAGCAAGCGCUUCUCAAACGCCUCUGUGCAGUGGUUAGAAUGGGUGAUGUUCAGAGACGGAGUGUUUAUCCAGCACGCUCUAAACGGAGGUGAACGGAGCUUUGGACGCUUGCGGGUGGAUGGCUAUUGUGAGUCAGGCGCGGUGAAGGUCGCGUAUGAAUUUCUGGGCUGCUUCUACCACGGCUGCUUGGAGUGUUUCACAGGCAGCCGCGUUCACGCCUUAACGAGGAAAACUUUUGAAAGAAUGCACGUUGAGACGCAGGAGAGAUUGACAGAGUUGAGGUCAGAGUACGGGCUCCGUGUGAUCACCAUGAAGGAGCACAACUGGGAUCUGCUGAAAAAGUCGCACCAGGGUGUGACAGCGUUCCUAAAAGCAUACAAGGCCCCUGAGCCUCUAGCCCCACGCGAUGCUCUGUACGGGGGGCGCACAUGCCCCGUGACGCUGAGAUACUCGGCGGGAGAAGAUGAGGUUGUGAGAUGUACAAUGUGAUUACAAUACAUGUGACUACGCAAAAUGAUACGGGUAAAAAGUAGAUGCAUUAUGAAUAAGUGAAAUUAGAAUGAGUACACACACACACGAUGAAUAAAUGACACUAGAAAGAAUUACAGGCUAUCAUGACAAAUGCGCCCCUCCCAGAGAUCCACCGCCUCCUGCAGGUCAUGUCGCUCAUGUUUUGACAUAGCCCGCUCCGUCAGUUCAUCUUGUAUAUCACCCAGAACCUCCACGACAUUCUCUGUAUCUUUCAGGCCGUGCAGAACGACUUUCCCCGGCCUGUAGCACUCUCUCCGCCGACACACGGAUGUUGUAUUUCUCAAGCAGUCUACUCGCCGCCGCAACGAAGCUGCUGGUCAGAACCCUCUUCUUUAGAGCUUCAUAAUAUCUUCCCAGAAAGUACGGGGGUACUCCAAACAGGCAAGUGUGCUGCAGCUGGCUGGGAUGUGAGGUCUGGCAGCCGUUGCAGAUGAACUCGUUGUAGUCGUGAACUGCGAUGUACAGAACCCGCGUCGCAAAGGCCUUUACAGUGUCCAGAAAGAGCCUCAGCAGAGGCCCGUCCAGCUCAUCCCCGCUCUCCUCCUCCGGGGCGGGAUGGAGGACCUCGCACCGCACUGACGUGAUUGAUCCAGGGGGUGCCACACUCGGUGCUGAAGCGGGCUACGAGCAGCCGACAGUCGGGGCCUCCGGGCGCGUGUAUGCUCACUCUGUAGUACCAACGGUCGCUGACGGAGCCGCUGGUUUCCCAGACAAACUUUAGUAUUUUCGGGUCGGGGUCCUCCAUGUCGAACACUCCCAUAGCGUCGCUCAAACUCUCCCCCUCGGUGUCCGUCACCGCUCGCAUCCUCUUUUCAACGGGCUCAUCUUCCUCGUCAGAUUCGUCCUCCUCCAUUCUUUCAAAAAGCUCACUCAGAUACCCCGCUAUUAUGCCGCACAAAAGACUCCAGUCAUUUGCAGUGACGGGCAUCGUUACAGUGUCGGGGGAGAAAACCUCUCCGACUUUGAGCUGGUAAAGACGCAACUCCCCCGUGGGGUAGCAAAACACAUAACCGAUAGAGCCCAACGCUAGCUUAAGUUCACCCUUGAGAGACGCGGGAGGGCUCUCUGCACUCUGCACAACCGUAACUUUGUUUUCUUAGGAGCUCCGCGCUGAAACCGAUUCUCCACCGCAACCCCAACGUUCACGCUGCUGAUGAUGUUGUCGGAAUCCUCUGCCGCUGGAGAAUCGGACAUUUUCCUGUUUUUCUCCCACACACGACAGUCUCUGGUCACUACAAAAACCCCCAUUGCAACGUCUUUAUAAAGCCGCACGCUCGAGGAGGCGGCUGAUAAAGGCCGUGCCACACAACAGUUGCGUUCUGAUGAUCACAACGCCCCUUUAACGCGGUGGAUUAAAGUUCAACGGACCUUUGACUCUGGGGUUAAAGAUCAAGCGCACUCUGACACUCUGGGGUUAAAGAUCAAGCGCACUCUGACCCUAGGGUUAAAGAUCAACGGUGAAAAGAUCAAGUGACCUUUGACACUCGGGGCUAAAGAUCAACGGUGAAAAGAUCAAGUGACCUUUGACCUAGAGCUGUCAAAAACAGAGUUGAUCGAAAGUGGGGUAUAUAUUCUCUGGUGUGUACAUAUUUUUAAGAGACGCCUUCUAUUUAAAGACACGAAUAAGCUGAGGAGAAUGAAAACAAGAACAUGUUGCUGCUGCGGCACUGCCUGUUUAAAACCACAGAUACUUAAUAGUAAAAACGUCUGCAGUGAAAAAGCUAGUCACAUUGAACUGCUACCACUGUAGUGUGUGUUGAUGUACGUGUGGGUGGGUGUCUUUGCAUCUGUGUCUGUGUGAGUCUGUUUGCUUGUGGUGCGGUUGAUUUGUUAGGGGUUCUGUCUUCCGCCCAGGGUACAGGGACCCGCUGCCUGGGUGGUCUCUUUUCUGCCGGCCCCCACCAAUUGCCAACCUUGUGCUGCGGGCCCUCCCCUCACCCUGACUUUUACAAAUGGCAUUAUUCAUGCACCAACGUCUGCCUCACCCUUUGGGUGAACAAUGUUAAGCUACAGCUUUACUAACCUUGUAGAGGGACACUCAAGACCUGAGCUGAAAAACAGGUUUUAAACCUAACUGUAAGUAUUACUGAUCACUACCAAUAUCAAUAAUGUGUAAAUAUGGAAAUUGUGAUGUUGUAUGUCAUAGAUAUUAUUAAGUAAUACAAGAUUAUUUAUAACAAUGCAUCUUUUUUGCAACUUUUUAACACUGGUCAACUUUUCAUCGUGUGCCUUUAUCAGAUUAGUGUUUUUUUCAACUUAGUCAGAUUUUUUGUGAUCCUUAACGAUACCCUGCUUUUGCUUUUGAAUGAUCAAUUAUGACUAUUUUAAGGUCCCAGCACAUGCAAAAUUCACUUUUUGGACAUUCUGGUACAUUUAUAUGACUCCCUGGUUCAUGUUAAGACACUCCUGGUGUGUUAGAAGUACACCCCCUACUUAUUUCACAUUUUGUGAGUUUAUCCAAUCCGGUUCAAGAGCCAUCGGUUUCAAAUUUGACGGACUAUGUACGUCUGCAUUCUAUUGACCACUCACAGAACCAGCUUCGGCCCAGCGGAGCAAGAAAGGAGAACUUUAUGGAUUCAUUUUAUUGUAAAUGGGCCGGUGCCAGCACCGCUGACUAAAUGCUUUUUUGUCUGUGGACACCAUUUUACCUCCAACUGCUUUGAAAACGAGGGUAUACUUAUUACUGGGCUUGAGGAUGAAAAUGGGCUCUGUUCCUACAAGAUGUGAUCCACUUGCUGCUUCCCCAAACGUAAGUACAUGCUUGAUACUUAUUUGAUAUAUGUACUCCAGAAGUUUCUCCAUUCAUAAUCUAGCUUCCCUCCUGUGUAAGGAAUGCUAAUAGCUAAAACAGUUGAUGCAAACAGCGACAGAGAGAGACAGUGUUGCAAGGUGCCGCCAUGCAAUUUGGAUGAAUCCAAGCCUUUUCAGCUUUUGUCCGGUUUGAAUCGUGUGAUAUAUGGUGCUGAGGUCAUUCACUUAGCUCACGUUCUAGCGCCACCGUCAUGUUAGCCGCUAGCGCGAUGCUAGCACAGCGUUAUCAGCUAGCGCUAGCCUCCAGCGCUGACCUUCACAUGACGUUCUGUACAACUUGGGUUUAGCUGCGAUAGUUGUGAGAGUCAGCUGUGUUUCUAAUUACUACUGAGCCUGUCGUGUGUACGUCGUAGCCAAAGUAGACCUGUGAAUUUGGGUUAUGGCAAGUUCUAUCUAAGUCUAACAUGUAUGUUGUUGCUGUCUUCUCGUAUGUGCUGACGCCUGUCAUGAUCUAGGUUUUUGUUUCCGGUUUUAUUUUGAAAGGACUUUGUUUUCAUUCAUGUUGUCAUAUUCCAGUUUCCAGUUCCUGUUUUAUUUUGAAGGACUUCCUGUUUCAGCCAGAUCACACCUGUUUCCUAUGUUAUCUCCGGUUCACCAUGCACACCUGUCAAUAGUUAGUAAUCACCGCCAGUAUUUAAGUACCACCUCAGCCAGCAGUCAAACGCCAGAUUGUUGCGAGUGUUACUUCUCUUUCCAGCAUUAUUAUCCAUGAAGCCUGCCUGUGCAUCUGACCAUCGCCUGUUCUUGAUUACCCGUUUGCCUUGUCCUACCUGUACAGCCGUGAGUAACCUGUGUUUAUCCAGCCUGUUUGACCGCCGCUCUGCUUACCCCCUUUGAACUGACGCCGAUUGCCUGCCUGUGUAUCAACCUCUGCUUGUUGUACUACCUUGGAUCUUGCCUUGACCAUUAAAUCUGACGACACUUAUCUUUUGGUGUCCAAAGCUGUGCAUGUGGGUCCGUCAUAUCAAGAUUGACAGAACAAUCUGGCCAAACUCGGACAGCCAACCGUAAUCAGACAGGUGUUUUUGGGGCUUUGUUUUUUCCCUCUCCUGGUUUUCUUUUUUAUGGAGCGCACUUUAUUUUUACCUGCCCCGGUUUACCGGAGCAUCUCCGUUGGUGCUUCGAGGAGCUCACGAAGAAAGGAGGCUUCUGGCGUAAAGGCACGGCUUCGCGUGGUGAAGCUGGCAGUGGAGAUCCUCAAGGAGGAACACUGGUGGCUUCACUACCCUGGGGUAAGGGCACUGUUCGCCAGACUCCAGGCGCUGCAGGCAGAUUUGAAACGCGCGCAAACCACAGUCUGUCCCGGCCACGGAAUCACAGUCUGUCCCGGCCACGGAAUCACAGUCUGUCCCGGCCACGGAAUCACAGUCUGUCCCGGCCACGGAACCACUGUCUGCCUCAGCCACGGAACCACUGUCUGUGUCGGCCACAGAACCACGGUCUGCCCCAGUACCGCAAGCCCGACCCAGUCACAAAACCACAGCCCGACUCCCCCAGUCCCGCAGUCCUGUCCAGCAGCACUAUGGAGUGGCUUCAGCUCCACUGCUCGCCCCUAAUCAUGUUUCUCCUGAAGGAGCUCCUCGACACUGCUACCACGGCCACCGACCCCCAGGUCCGGACGGAUGCUCCUGCCCCAGCACCGCAGCCGGCUCCUGCUCCCAGGACCCAGCCCCGUAAGAAUCCUGCUGCACCGGUUCCUCAAUCACGUCUCACCCAAGCCCCUGUGCUCCAGUCUGCACCAGCCCCUGUGCUCCAGUCUGCACCAGCCCCUGUGCUCCAGUCUGCACCAGCCCCUGUGCUUCAGUCAGCCAACAGAAAGAAGGCAGAGACUAGAACAACUGGUGGAGGACCUGCACCACCACCACUGACGCAUGCAGAGGAGAAGGCCCUCAGCAUGAACACUGGAAAGCAGAGGCUGAAGGAAUUCCUGGAGGGAGUUCAUCAGAACCAGUCACUCCCCAGGAUACAAGUGCAUGUGUAAAAUAUUCCGAUGGUAAUUUAUGAAUCCUCCUGUCACAACAGAAGCCCAGGAUAUUAGUGUGGAAGAACAGCAGGAGGAGGGUCCGUCACAUUCUGCUGCACAGAUGCACACAUCACUGGUUAAGGAGUUGUAUAAAUCUCAAGGAAAUGUUAUACUUGGACCGCCAGAUUGAAAAGACAGAUCUAGAAAUUGAAAUUCUCAAACAAAAGCUGGAGGAAAUGAAGAAAACCAAAUAAAUUAUGAUUUGCAUCUAUUCAGUUUCUUUUAUUGGUGGUGGUGGUGAUGGUUGAUUAAGACAUUAAAGCAAAUCUGUCCAUCCACUCUGCAGAUCACUGUGAUGGAAGGAGUCUCCUCAGGGUCUUGUAUUUGUAGGGCAGGGUGUUGCUCCCCUCUAAUAAUUGCAAUAUUGUGGAGAACAACACAUGUCACAUUAAUGUCACAGGCCUCUCAGGUGUUUCCCUGAGGUGACGUAGGCACUGAAGACGUGCUUUCAACAGGCCUCUGGCCAUUUCCACCCAGACUCUUGUUCUGCAGGGCCACAUUAAAGCGCUGCUGUUGCGCUGUUUUGGUCUCUGUGCGAAGGAAACAGGUGAAAUCUAUGAAUGUACUGAAAAAUUAAACAAGGUAUUUAAACACUGUUCACUUUAAAAAGGGGCCGAGACCGAAAACCUGCUCACGACCAGGUUAGGUUCACAGAGUAAGUUGCCACAGUAACUGACUCAUUGUUUCGAUUACCUCUCUUCUUGAAACGGGCCCCUGCUCCUGCCUUACGAUUACAUUUUUGAAUUUCCAUCCGUUUCGGUGCUGUGCAUGUGGGUCCAGCGUCCAGCGAGACCUGACAAUUGGUCAGUUUUGAUGCUAGUAAGAUCUAGUGAUUUGUUUGGAUCAAUAACCAAAAAAGUAACGUUUACUUGAGUACUUAAAUGAAAACUACUAUGUGCUAAUAAGUAUAGUGUACUUAAAAUUAGCCCUGUGAUAUUUACUUAUUUCUGUGUGGAACUGUGUGGAUUUUAAUCCACUUUUUUUCAGUGUAUGAGCCCUGAUCUAAAUCUUAUUGAACACCUGUGGAAGGAGCAGAAUCUUGCCUUCCAGAGAAGGACCCUACAAAUCUGAGAUUACUGGAGCAGUUUGCUCAGAAGGAGGGCCAAAAUACCUGUUGAAAGGUACAGAAAUCAUUUGAUUGCGUUGAUUGCUUCAAAAGGUUGCUCAAUAAAAUAUUAAGACAAAAACAGAAAGUGGGAGUGGCUAAAAGCAAGGAGCUAGAUUGGGCCAGAUUUUUGAAAAUCUGGCUGAAUCUCUCUCGCUGCAGUUUAUAGCUGUCCUCAGGAGCUGCACUUACACUGACCUCUCUCAAUGCUCCAGGGCUUAUACUUCAUCAAGAGGCCUUGUGACAGACCAGUAGUGACGCGGACCAUCCUCUACCCUUCACCCUUCCCUCUCUUUUCUGCUCUUAAUGUGCCUUUUGUUUGGUGUCUAAUGACAGCUGUGAUGGAACCGUCAUGCUCCAUGAGCAUGCUGGCCCCCAGCCAGGCCUUCAUUUUUCUGCUGCCACCACCUCUCUGCUCAUCAUUCUUUCUAUCCUGUCCCUGCACCAGAGAAACUGUGUUCAGUAGCUCUAAACUGUCAUCUCCUCACCCAAUCUAAUCUUGUCUAGGUAGCGCUAUAUGCCAGUUUCAUUUAGGCUUGUUGUUUAGCAAAAUAUUUGUGUGUUUAUAGAUACAUGUUUACAGAAAUAUCUUGUGCUCCAGUCUUCAGAUAGUUUUAUCCAUAGAUCCAUCCAUAGAACCACUCUGCCCCUUGGGGACUUUUGUUUCCGGCUACGUGCGGGACGCGUGGGAUUCCUGGUGCCCCGUGUGUCUGAAGCCUCUGUCCAUCGAGGAUGCAGAGGAUCUAUUCAUAUUUUGGACUUUGAUAGCAGGGCUACUAAUGAUUGGCUUUGGUGGUGCCCUGCUUUAUCGGAAGAUUGGAAAGAUUGGAAAAUCUGCGUCCGGAUUAUUGGCGAGUCCACCGGCCGUGGAGCUACAGACGCCGACAGGGCCAUGGUUACUCGGCUGACGGAAUUACACCAGAGGAUGGCCCGGAUUGAAGGACUGACAAUUACCAUCUCAGCUCGUUCGGAUGAUUUGCAUCAGAGGAUGACCCGGAUUGCAGGACUGACUAGUAAGAUUUCAGCCCGUUUGGAGGAAGACAAGAGACUGAGGGAAAACAUCUGCAGACAGACUGAACACUUGGUGAAUAUGGUGACAGCCAUGUCUGACAGGCUUGAAAGGAUGUCACGGGUGAACCAUGGUCCCACAAGAGGCGAUGAAGCCCUGAGUUCUGACCGAUUGGAGUAUUGAUCUAGACAAAUUAGUCGUGGAUUGUUAAAAUGUAUUAGAAUUGGCUGUGUAAUAUUCUGUCUCUUCUCCCUCACCCCUCCCUUCCCGAGUCCAAUCUAGCUUACCAGCUGUACUUCUAUCUAUCUUCUUCCCCUGUUGUGAGUCCCUUCAAGGACAACUGUUGGACUGACCUGUAAACAUCUUGGUCGGCCUCGGUCUUACUUCUAUAAACAACACUUCACUACACUGAUUCAGAUACACCCCUGUACAGUAUAUCAAGAACAUCUUAAUUUUUUUAAUUCUUAAUCUCAUCAUUUCAAAAGCAAUACAAGAAAACUAACAUUUCACUAUUUGACAUACAGUUCAAAUACACAGACAGUAAUGGUUUACAUAUAGAACAAGCAUAAAGUCGUGCACACACAUCAUUUUUUAUAGUUGGAAGUUAUAGCCGUUUACUCCAUAAUUUCAAACAACACUUGUUUAAUGUCUGGAAGAAUAAGCCAAAGUUUCAAUUUGUAGUAUUGUAUAUGCCCCUACAAACUAUUAACACCUACAUACUAAAUUGAGGUUAUUGUUGUCAUAAACAUAUGCCAUUGCAUACAUGUAUAAAACGUUUACUUUUUAUUUGUUGCUGGUUAAAUUGUAAUUAUAUAAUUUUCUAUUAUAUAUAUGUACACACACACACACACACACACACACACACACACACACACACACACACACACACACACACACACACACACAGUACAACUAUUUUAUGAAUUUGUAUUUUUCUCUUUACAGAAACAAUGUAUUUUUGUGUAAUUAUUAAAAAUGAGCUUUUGUAUUGUGACCUCUUUCCAGGAUGUAUGUAUUUAUGUAUGUAUUUCCACAAUUAUUUGUGGUGAGUGAAGUAAAAUAAAUAAUUUAACCAUGAGAUGAAACACCUUCAUGUCAUACAUUUCUCAGAACACUAGAUGGAGCUGUGAUCAUACGCCAGGCAGUUCUUACUCACCCAGCACUUAAAAAUACUUGUUCCCUACAUACUCAGCAGAAGGCAUACAGCUGGCUGCUCCUACUGUUUGGUUCUGUACCCAAUGAUGCUUAUGUUUUCAUUUGACAUCGUCAGUUCAUUUUCAUAACCGAUAACAUACAGGUCACCUGGGUGCUGAAACCAAUCCAGCUAUCAUUGCCCAAAAGACUGAAUAAAACUUACAGAGGUCACUAGCCCAUCACAGGAUUAUUCAUACUUAUACGUAGAGUAUAACAGAGACAACCACUACAUUACAAUGCUACUGAGACCUCUUGAGAAAAUGAUUGUUUAUUGCAAUGAAAAGCACUUACUUAGGUACAUGCACUAAAUGCUGUUCUGGUUUGACUGUAAGCCUCACUAGAUGUGAUUGUGUUCAUUUGUGCUACAAAACAUGAUCACACAAAUGAUGAAAACACCAUUAAACUGUGUUUGUGCAGAUAAAGCAAUGCAGUUGCUAUUUUGUUUUUAAAUUAAUGUCACUUUUGGUAAUUUAGUAAUUUCUCUCUUAAACAACACAACUGACAACUGUAAAUAUGUCUAAAUCUGCAUAAAAAAUAAUAAAGUGGAAAGUACCAAGUUUAGACACAACUACUUCAAACAACGUCUCUUUAUUAAUGUAGCAGGACACAUGCACAGACCACUGUGAUUAAGCUAAAUAAUUCAUAUUAUAUUGUAUUGAUAUUGACCAGCAUUCUCUAUGUACUGUUUUUAUUUACUUCAUAUAUAAUGUAAUUUGUAGUUUAAUGUACUUUACUGAACAUAUCAUUAUCGUCAUUGGGUUAACAAAACAUAGCUUAUAAGCAUAUUUAUAACUAC